rnacentral:lncRNA from 1 species
CGAGGAACCGCGAAAGAUAGGUUAGUAACACGUGAUUCUUGGGUGUCACACAGCCGCUAACAGCAGCUUUCCAUUCCCCCCACCAUCCACCUCCAAUCAUAGGCCUAUUGCUCGGGGAAACAGGUCAUGUUCGUUGAGAGGGGGAUUGCAUCGAUUCCCUGAAUUGUCGGGGCGAUAUUGGUAGGCGAGAGGAGCCGAAAAGAGCCGUCGUCCCCUUGAGGUGCCCACUGCGGGAAGUCGGGUUCCUUCCAAGAGCAAACGGUAAAGAAAAGCAAUCCCGCACCGACAACCUUCACGCUCUCAAAAAAUAGAGUCCGUCGUCGUACUCGAAGGGAAGCAUUCCUUUCCUUCUUCUGUCCCCAAAGCCACAUCGCCUCUGGGACGCCGACCACCGGAACCUUCGACAAUGGAUGUCCGUACAUCUGAGCUGGCUGGGCUUGGUGACCUCUCACCUCACAAACACGUCACCGGAGCAACCAGGGUGGUUUUGUGAAAACGCUUCGGUCGUUAAUGAUGUUCGUUUGGGAGGUUGACAGAAUGUUCUAACUCCAAGGAAGAGCCAGAACUUCUCGCUUGAUGACGUCCAAACUUUUUUCCGGCGUGGGGCGCGAACCUUGGUUUACUUGAUCCAGCCAAGAACAAUAUCGGGCGAGUAGUUACAGAGUUUUCUUUUUUUGAUCUGUGCGUGAGCCGAGUACAUCAGUGGAGAAUUCACCUUUGUUUUUUCUACUUUGUUGUCGGCAGGGAAGAAGCUGCAUGCACCCUUUGCUUUUUCGAAUAUGGAGCCCUGAUUUUCCAAGUUUAUGGAUCAGGCCUCGUCAGUUGCGGGUUUUUGCAGUUUGCGAUGGCUUCUCGCUCCAGCAUUCCUGUUUUUGUGGGUGUUCUGCUGGUGACGCACGGAACCGAGUAUCCGAGUUUGAGAAAAACCACCCCGUUCUGAGGGCGGGAAUUUUGCACGCAUCCAACAGCAGGGUCAUCUGCAGCGUACUCCCCUCCUCGACGCUUCUUUUCCGUGUAAACAACAAAUAAAUCCCCCAAAUCGAAUUGAGGUCAGAGGUCCUCUGUGGGUGCUUAUGGCGUGCAUGGUUUCCGUGUUGAGUGUUGUCUCCAUCGAGUACUCGCACCGUCUGUGGGUUAGUUGAAAAACCCACGUUGACAGUAUGCCCCACGUAGGCAUUCAGCUUGCGCUGCGGAUACUGACUGUGAACUGCCACUGACCACUGCUGGGGGAUCCGCAAUCAAGAAGUUUUGCUUUGCAUUCCACGAUUUGGCAGCAUGUUCAUCUCAUUCGUCACUUCAAGGUGGUGCUCCAUACUGAGGCUACUCAGGGCACGAUUGUAAGAGAAACUGAACUGAGUAGCAUCGUUUUUUUUCAGGCAACAAACAGAUCAUAACCGGUAGCACAAUUUUUUGGUGGUCC